GACGAACGCUGGCGGCGUGCUUAACACAUGCAAGUCGAACGGUGAACGAGGGAGCUUGCUCCCUCCGGAUCAGUGGCGAACGGGUGAGUAACACGUGAGCAAUCUGCCCCGAACUCUGGGAUAAGCGUUGGAAACGACGUCUACUACCAGAUACGACGCGGGAGGGCAUCCUCUCCGCGUGGAAAGAACUUCGGUUCGGGAUGGGCUCGCGGCCUAUCUGCUUGUUGGUGGGGGAACGGCUCACCAAGGCGACGCAGGCUAGCCGACAUGAGAGGGUGACCGGCGACAAGGGGACUGAGAGACGGACCAGACGGCAAUGGGAGACAGCGGUGGGGAAUAUGGCACAGUGGGAGCAAGCCUGAUGAAGAAACGCCGCGGGAGGGACGACGGCCUUCGGGUUGUAAAAGUCAGCUGGCAGGGAAGAAGCGAAAGUGACGGUACCUGAAGAAAAAGCACCGGCUAACUACGUG
rnacentral:rRNA from 1 species